ACGGGUGAGUAACGCGUAGGAAUCUACCUUUCAGUGAGGAAUACUCCCGAGAAAUCGGGCUUAAUACUGCAUACGUCUAGAAAUAGAGAAAGAUGGCUUUUAUGCUGUCGCUGAGAGAUGAGCCUGCGUACUAUUAGCUAGUUGGUGGGGUAAUGGCCUACCAAGGCGAUGAUGGUUAGCCGGCCUGAGAGGGUGUACGGCCACACUGGAACUUAGACACGGUCCAGACUCCUACGGGAGGCAGCAGUGAGGAAUAUUGCGCAAUGGGCGAAAGCCUGACGCAGCGACGCCGCGUGGAGGAUGAAGGUCUUCGGAUUGUAAACUUCUGUUAAGUGGGAAGAAAGGCAAAGCUCUAAUACAGCUUUGAUAUGACGGUACCAUUAGAGAAAGCACCGGCUAAACUCGUGCCAGCAGCCGCGGUAAUACGAGUGGUGCAAGCGUUAUUCGGAUUGAUUGGGCGUAAAGGGUGCGCAGGCGGUAUGCUAAGUCAACUGUUAAAAACCUCAGCCUAACUGAGGAUCGGCGGUAGAUACUGGCGUGCUAGAGGGUGGAAGAGAGAAGUGGAAUUCUUGGAGUAGCGGUAAAA
rnacentral:rRNA from 1 species